GGUUUGUUUACAAAAAAAAAGAGAAAUAAUUUGUGUUUCUUCAAGUCAUUCGUCCUCGCCUUGGUACUUUCAUCGUUCAAUCUCGCUUUGGAUCGUCCAAUAAUCGUGCUCAUGAAACAAGAAAAAAGAAAAGUUAGUGAUCAAACACAUGGAAAAAAUUCAAACAAGAAUUAUUUGAUUAAUGUCAUCAUAAGGGUUUGCGUUUGGAAUCAGUCAGGGAGUUAUUUUUCAUCAUGGUUUAUUUUCUCCCAAUUGCAAAUCACAAAAAGGAAAAAAGAAAAAAGAUUGCAAAUGUUUCCUGUUGCUAAAGUAAAAAACAGCAUCAGCCAAAACCAAAACAAACUGUCAAAACAAGCAUAG